AAGGAAUAUUGGUCAAUGGACGCAAGUCUGAACCAGCCAUGCCGCGUGGAGGAUGAAGGUCCUCUGGAUUGUAAACUUCUUUUAUCUGGGACGAAACACUUCUUUUCUAAGAGGCCUGACGGUACCAGAUGAAUAAGCACCGGCUAACUCCGUGCCAGCAGCCGCGGUAAUACGGAGGGUGCAAGCGUUAUCCGGAUUCACUGGGUUUAAAGGGUGCGUAGGUGGGUAUGUAAGUCAGUGGUGAAAUCCCCGAGCUUAACUUGGGACCUGCCAUUGAUACUAUAUAUCUUGAAUACCGUAGAGGUAAGCGGAAUAUGUCAUGUAGCGGUGAAAUGCUUAGAUAUGACAUGGAACACCAAUUGCGAAGGCAGCUUACUAUGCGGUGAUUGACACUGAGGCACGAAAGCGUGGGUAGCAAAC
rnacentral:rRNA from 1 species